rnacentral:rRNA from 1 species
CUUUAAGAUAUUUACUUAAAGUAAUACCUGCUCAAUGACAAUUUAAAUAGCCGCAGUUUCACUGUGCUAAGGUAGCAUAAUAACUUGCUUCCUAAUUAGAAGAAAGAAUGAAUGGUCCUACACAUAAAAUCUAUUUAUGUUAAAAAAAUAAAAUUAUAAAAGAAAGUAAAAACACUCCUAACAAAAAACGGGACGACAAGACCCUAAUAAACUUAUUAUUUAGUUGGGGAAACAAUUCAAAAAAACUUUAAAUCAUAUCUAUAUAACCCUUUAAAUAAAAUCCAGUUACUAUAGGGAUAACAGCGUUAUUUCUUUCUAGAGUACUUAUCCAAAAAGAAGAUUACGACCUCGAUGUUGAAUUAAUUCACCUAAUUAAGAGCAAUAUCUAAAUAAGGUAGUCUGUUCGACUAAUAAAAAUUU